CAGACCUUGAGCAUGGGGAUGCAGUAGAGGCAGCGAAUGUUGGAUUUUGUAGUGUAUUGUCACUGGCAAAACCUGAUGUAGGGAAGCUAGUUGUUGCCACCAUUGCACUAUUGUUGGCAUCCACAUCAAAUAUUCUGCUUCCAAAGUAUGGUGGUAUAAUAACAGACAUUGUAUAAAGGA